UUUUAGUUAAGUUUUUCAUCUAUUAAAGCCCAAAUGGGGUUAGAGAUGAUUCUGUAAAUUUUUGUUCAUUACUUUUCCUGAAUUUUUCCGGCAGUUUCUCAGCAACCAAACGGAACAUCGUUCGUUUUCCGAACCCGCAGAAACCGAACUGGGACUCCCAGAAUAGUAAACAUCACUGUACAAUAGACACUAACUUGUCUGCCUGCCCCACCUGGCUCACGAACAUAGCGAAAGAAUACUCUGUUUGUUUGCUGAGAAAAUGCUUAAAAGAAUGAAGAUUUAAACGAGUGUGUUUUCAAUUUCCACUUUUCGGAAACAAAAUAACAGCAAACUUGUACAAGUCAAAAUUUUGUUUUGGUUUGUUUUGUUUUGUUCAUUUUGACACUGCUCUCAGCAGUCCGACAGAGGGCAACCGAAACUUUCUUGCCCUGCGGCUAUAGUCUAACUCUAACUUUGCUGGUUUUGGCAGGCAGAUUUGGAACGAAGUAGGUAACAACAAUGGGGUUUGAGGAUUUCGAACCCAUCUUUGGCGAAGCCAAAGUAGAGUGUGCAGCCACUGGUUCAGCGCCAUUGCACCCGUUCUUGUUCAAUGUCUAUGCUUCGAAUCCUUCUUGCCUCAGCAUUCAUGUUACUGAUUUUCACUCCAGUGCUUGGGAGGCUGUUCGAUCAGUUCAGCAGCUUGAGGACAUGAGAGACAGCAUUGGAAUUGGGGGCUCAUGGGCUGAGUUUUUAGAUUAUGUUGUGGCGUCCAUAAAAUCUGAAGAUGUGAAGCUUGUUAUGGGACAUUUGGAAUCAGAUGGUGCCGCAUUUGCAAAAUUAGUUGCUCAAAAAUCAAAAGGAAUGCCUCUGAUUUCCAUUUCACUUGUGAAACUUGUGGACUCUGCUGCUAGUGAAGCUGUGGCAAAUGUUUCAUUAAAUCUCUUCAAGCAAUUCAAAAGGAUGAAAAAUUUACUAGAGCAAGAGCAAGAGCGCUCGUAUCAACUGACUAAAAUGAUAUCAGUCAAACAGGAGGAAAAGGAAAGCAUCCAUAGCCAACCGGAGUUGUUCUCAAAGAGGCCGAGGUUGCAAAAAAUGAAUUCCUUGGACAAAGGAAAUGUUCCUACAAAUCUAAUGAGCUCAGAUACCUUGUCAAUUUCUGGCUCACAAAAUUCUCCUGUUUUUGUUUCUCAGGUGUACACACACUCCAUUUCAGACAAGCUAGCAGCCCGGGAUCUAUGCUCAAGCAAAGCAACAAAUCGUGUUGCACCAGCAUUCCGCAGGGCAAAAGUAAGAGGAGUACGUCUGAAGGAUACUGAUAAUGACAGAGAUAAUUAGAAGGUGUGACAACAAAUUUGUUGUCACAUGAAGUGAAAAGAUUCAAUGCUUGAAGUUUUGGGACUUGCUUUAAAAUGAUUAUAGCAUGGAAAAAAUACAGCUCAGUUAAAGGUCCUUCCCUGUUCAAAUUAAAAUAUGCAACUGGAUUUGAAUCAGACACUACUUACUGGAAUGCAUUCAUGGAAAGAAUUUGUUACCUACAGAAUUAUUGAUUAUUCAAGUAGGUUUGGAGAUUGAUGCAACUGCCAUUCAGGGUACAAUGAAAUGCUGUCUUGUGUUUUUAAGUUGGCAUCUUUUUGUUUAGGUACACAUUUGAUUUAACUCUCUGUACUAGUGUGCUUUUAAUCUUCUUUGUUAACAUUUUGGUAUUGGGAAUCAUUCAUGUUAACAGCGACUUAUUAGACUUUCAUGAACGACCAUUUAUAGGCAAAAAUAACCCAGCCUUUGCACCUUACUA